rnacentral:rRNA from 1 species
AAUCAACGCUGGCGGCGUGCCUAACACAUGCAAGUCGAGCGCGAAAGUGGGCUUCGGCCCGCGAGUAGAGCGGCGAACGGGUGAGUAACGCGUGGGUGAUCUACCUUCGAGUGGGGAAUAACACCGGGAAACUGGUGCUAAUACCGCAUGACAUCCUCGGUUCGUUCCGAGGAUCAAAGCCGGGGACCGCAAGGCCUGGCGCUUGAAGAGGAGCCCGCGUCCGAUUAGCUUGUUGGCGGGGUAAUGGCCCACCAAGGCUUCGAUCGGUAGCCGGCCUGAGAGGGCGGACGGCCACACUGGGACUGAGACACGGCCCAGACUCCUACGGGAGGCAGCAGUGGGGAAUUUUCCGCAAUGGGGGAAACCCUGACGGAGCAACGCCGCGUGGAGGAUGAAGGCCCUCGGGUCGUAAACUCCUGUCGAUCGGGAAGAAUGCACACGGCCUAAUACGUCGUUGUGUUGACUGUACCGGUGGAGGAAGCCACGGCUAACUCUGUG